UCGACCCGCACCCGGUGGCAUAAUCUCGCUGGGGCCUCCAAAUGUUGUAACCGAGCUAGUUAGAGAGAAACUCCACACUUUGAGACAAAUUCAGGAGUCCUUUAUUAG
rnacentral:pre_miRNA from 8 species